CACACACAUAGGCUAUAUGGUAUUGUAUAGCCUAUAGACUGCUUCCAGGCCGCAAACCUGUAUAGCAUGUUACUGCAUUGAAUACUGUAAGCAACUGUAACACAAUGUUUUGGAAGUCUUCCACCAAAUGUCCAAAGAAUUAACCUGUGAGUCACAUCAGAGAAGUACACCUCACGUGGACCAUCCAUGUACAUCAGUGCUUGGUUCCCACAGGCAAAGCUAAUCUGUAGUGCCAAACAAUAGAUCAGUGGUUGCCUGAGGCCAAGAUGUGGAAGAUGGGAUUGACUGCAAAACUACAGAAGGAAUAUUUGGGGAGGCACGGAAGCGCAUCCGUGGAAAUCCAUCCCUUCCGACUUCCUUACACCUAUACAAAAGCCUGCAUUUGAUGCCCAGGACUCCAGAUCAGUACAUUCUGUGACAACUAAGGCACAGUGGAACAAGAAGGGCCCAACCACAUAAAGCUCCAGGAGAGUAGGAAUUAGUCUUGCUCUCAAGGACAUUCCUGGCACCCAGCAGAAUACCUAGCCUAGUAGGCAACAAAUGAAUACUGGAUGAAUAAAUCUAUGAAUCCAUCAAGAAGCAAGCUUGAGAAUGAGGCCAAAACACAGAGGAAGGCAAAAGAGCAAUGAAGCUGAGCAAAUACACCAGACUACCCAACUCUGAAACCCAUCCAACCUCUGGACUUCAUUGUUGUGAGUCAAUACAUUUACCUAACAUUUAAACCACUCAGAGUCAAAAUUUCUGUUAC
rnacentral:lncRNA from 1 species